rnacentral:rRNA from 1 species
UCGGGAAUAUUGGACAAUGGACGAAAGUCUGAUCCAGCAAUGCCGCGUGAAUGAUGAAGGCCUUAGGGUUGUAAAGUUCUUUUGUCAGGGAAUAUAAUGAAGGUACCUGAAGAAUAAGCACCGGCUAAUUUCGUGCCAGCAGCCGCGGUAAUACGAAAGGUGCUAGCGUUACUCGGAUUUACUGGGCGUAAAGCGCGUGUAGGUUGAUUUGUAAGUCAGUUGUUAAAAACCGAAGCUUAACUUCGGCGCUGCAAUUGAAACUGCUUAUCUUGAAUAUGGUAGGGGAUAGCGGAAUUUCUGGUGUAGGGGUAAAAUCCGUAGAUAUCAGAAGGAACACCAAAGGCGAAGGCAGCUAUCUGGGCCAUUAUUGACACUGAGACGCGAAAGCGUGGGGAGCAAA